GGCAUCCUAUAGUUGCAAAGCCCUUUUGGGAAUGUAAAGGGCGAUUAUUGGCUCACAAAGUGAAUAAUUAAAUUAGCCAAGGCUGAGGCAGUAUCAAUGGGUGGUGCCGUGGUGGUGGUAAUUAAGAACAGAGUAAUAGUUGAAGACACUCUGAGUGAAGUUCAAGAACGAAUAACAGUUGAGAUUAACUAAGGAAUUUGAAGCAGUAGAGGCACCAACUGACCAAAGCAAAUGUCCCUGUUAAAACCAAGCCAAACUAGUGAUCCUAACCUUGCAACCACAACAGAAACAUUGAAGGUUCUUGACUCAUAUGAAUCAGACAUAAUUAAGCUGGCUACAUGUUCUUUGGCAAGAUGGACCAAUCAUAAUACACUUAUUUCUAUGCUGAAGGAGAUAGGACCAGUAUACCAUGCCAUUUUUUGUCAUCAUCAGAUCAAGAUACAUUGAUACGCUCAAUUACUUUCUUGUGCCUUUUCAUAUGUUUUGUGUUAGGAAAAACAUCAACUAUCAAGUCUUUUUCAGAUGUUCGUGAAGCAUAGUAAUUUGACUUAUGCCAUAACACCUUUGUUAUUAGUGAAAACUCAUUUGCUGAAGUGGAUUUGAAAAAACUCUUCCUGCUAUAGUAUCGUUAUGCUUGUUGCACAAAAAAAAAAUUGAUAAGUUGUUGAUAUGGCAUUCUUGAUAUAAUGUAGUGUAGUAAAUAUUUUUACAAUAAUAGCAACAAGUCAACAAGAAUAAUGGUUGUUGUUGUUAUCAUCAAUCAUUUUAAUGUGCCAGCCAAAA